rnacentral:rRNA from 1 species
UACGUAGGGUGCGAGCGUUGUCCGGAAUUAUUGGGCGUAAAGAGCUCGUAGGCGGUUUGUCGCGUCGACUGUGAAAACCCGAGGCUUAACCUCGGGCCUGCAGUCGAUACGGGCAGACUAGAGUUCGGUAGGGGAGACUGGAAUUCCUGGUGUAGCGGUGAAAUGCGCAGAUAUCAGGAGGAACACCGGUGGCGAAGGCGGGUCUCUGGACAGUUCCUGACACUGAGGCACGAAGGCCAGGGGAGCAAACGGG